rnacentral:rRNA from 1 species
UACGAAGGGGGCUAGCGUUGCUCGGAAUGACUGGGCGUAAAGGGCGCGUAGGCGGUUUGGACAGUCAGAUGUGAAAUUCCUGGGCUCAACCUGGGGGCUGCAUUUGAUACGUUCGGACUAGAGUGGGGAAGAGGGUCGUGGAAUUCCCAGUGUAGAGGUGAAAUUCGUAGAUAUUGGGAGGAACACCAGUGGCGAAGGCGGCUACCUGGCACAUAACUGACGCUGAUACGCGAAAGCGUGGGGAGCGAACCGG